rnacentral:rRNA from 1 species
AUUGAACGCUGGCGGCAUGCCUUACACAUGCAAGUCGAACGGUAACGGGCCUUCGGGUGCCGACGAGUGGCGAACGGGUGAGUAAUACAUCGGAACGUGCCCGAUCGUGGGGGAUAACGAGGCGAAAGCUUUGCUAAUACCGCAUACGAUCUACGGAUGAAAGCAGGGGACCGCAAGGCCUUGCGCGGACGGAGCGGCAGAUGGCAGAUUAGGUGGUUGGUGGGAUAAAAGCUUACCAAGACGACGAUCUGUAGCUGGUCUGAGAGGAUGAUCAGCCACACUGGGACUGAGACACGGCCCAGACUCCUACGGGAGGCAGCAGUGGGGAAUUUUGGACAAUGGGCGCAAGCCUUAUCCAGCCAUGCCGCGUGCAGGAUGAAGGCCUUCGGGUUGUAAACUGCUUUUGUACGGAACGAAAAGCCUUCUUUUAAUACAGGAGGGUCAUGACGGUACCGGAAGAAUAAGCACCGGCUAACUACGUG